rfam:Altererythrobacter sp. Root672 contig_1, whole genome shotgun sequence.
CUCAUGGGGUCGCGAUCACCCCAUGAGGCGACAUGCUGAAGUAUCGCGUCCUCUCAUGAUCACGGACGCACUAUG